CUACGGGAGGCAGCAGUGGGGAAUAUUGCACAAUGGGGGGAACCCUGAUGCAGCAACGCCGCGUGGAGGAUGACACAUUUCGGUGCGUAAACUCCUUUUAUAUAAGAAGAUAAUGACGGUAUUAUAUGAAUAAGCACCGGCUAACUCCGUGCCAGCAGCCGCGGUAAUACGGGGGGUGCAAGCGUUACUCGGAAUCACUGGGCGUAAAGAGCAUGUAGGCUGGUUAGUAAGUUGGAAGUGAAAUCCUAUGGCUUAACCAUAGAACUGCUUCCAAAACUACUAACCUUGAAUAUGGGAGAGGUAGAUGGAAUUUCUGGUGUAGGGGUAAAAUCCGUAGAGAUCAGAAGGAAUACCGAUUGCGAAGGCGAUCUACUGGAACAUUAUUGACGCUCAGAUGCGAAAGCGUGGGGAGCAAACAGGAUUAGAUACCCCUGUAGUC
rnacentral:rRNA from 1 species